rfam:Caedibacter sp. 37-49 SCNpilot_expt_500_p_scaffold_2642, whole genome shotgun sequence.
AAAUUGCUUUCUUUGAGAGCAUAUUAAAGAAUUAAGGAGAAAAGCCGUGGCUCGUAUAGCAGGCGUCAACAUUCCUACA